UAAAGCGUGCGCAGCGGUUAUGUAAGACAGAUGUGAAAUCCCCGGGCUCAACCUGGGAACUGCAUUUGUGACUGCAUGGCUAGAGUACGGUAGAGGGGGAUGGAAUUCCGCGUGUAGCAGUGAAAUGCGUAGAUAUGCGGAGGAACACCGAUGGCGAAGGCAAUCCCCUGGACCUGUACUGACGCUCAUGCACGAAAGCGUGGGGAGCAAACAGGAUUAGAUACCCGAGU
rnacentral:rRNA from 1 species